GAAUAUUCUUGAUGGGUUGUAGCUGGCUCUUCGGGGCAUGUGCACGCUUGUCUUGACUUUAUUCAUCCACCUGUGCACUUUUUGUAGUCUUGGAGGUUGAGAGCGGUCAACUAUCGGAUAGCUGUUAUGGCCAUUCCGGAUGUGAGGAAUUGCUGAGUGCAAAAGCAUACAGCUCUUCUCAAAAUGACUUGCAAUACCUCUCCUUCAAGUACUAUGUAUUCAUAUACCACAUAGUAUGUUGUAGAAUGUGAUCAAUGGGCUUAUGUGCCUAUAAUAAUCAUAUACAACUUUCAGCAACGGAUCUCUUGGCUCU
rnacentral:misc_RNA from 1 species